rnacentral:rRNA from 1 species
GACAGAGGUCCCGAGCGUUAGGCGGAAUCACUGGGCUUAAAGCGUGUGUAGGCGGACUUCUAAGUACCUUGUGAAAUCCCACGGCUCAACCGUGGAACUGCUUGGUAUACUGGUUGUCUUGGGCCAUCUAGGGGCGAGCGGAACAAACGGUGGAGCGGUGAAAUGCGUAGAUAUCGUCUGGAACGCCAAUGGUGAAAACAGCUCGCUGGGGAUGUGCCGACGCUGAGACACGAAAGCCAGGGGAGCGAACGGG